rnacentral:rRNA from 1 species
CAGCAGCCGCGGUAAUACGUAGGUGGCAAGCGUUGUCCGGAAUUAUUGGGCGUAAAGGGCUCGCAGGCGGUUUCUUAAGUCUGAUGUGAAAGCCCCCGGCUCAACCGGGGAGGGUCAUUGGAAACUAGGAAACUUGAGUGCAGAAGAGGAGGGUGGAAUUCCACGUGUAGCGGUGAAAUGCGUAGAGAUGUGGAGGAACACCAGUGGCGAAGGCGACUCUCUGGUCUGUAACUGACGCUGAGGAGCGAAAGCGUGGGGAGCGAACAGGAUUAGAUACCCCUGUAGUCCCUGUCUCUUAUAC